rnacentral:tRNA from 1 species
GCGCGCAUGGCGAAAUUGGUAGACGCGCAGGAUUUAGGUUCCUGUGACUUCGGUCUUGGGGGUUCGAUUCCCCCUGCGCGCA